rnacentral:rRNA from 1 species
AACUAACAAGGAUUCCCCUAGUAACGGCGAGUGAAGCGGGAUGAGCUCAAGCUUAAAAUCUCCAUACAAUUUUUGUAUGGCGAAUUGUAGUCUAUAGAAGCGUGGUCAGUGUAGGCACUUGGGGUAAGUUCCUUGGAAAAGGACAGCAUGGAGGGUGAUACUCCCGUUUAUCUCUAAGUUGCUUAUACGUACGACCCGUUUUCUUUGAGUCGCGUUGUUUGAGAAUGCAGCGCAAAGUAGGUGGUAAAUUCCAUCUAAAGCUAAAUAUUGGUGCGAGACCGAUAGCAAACAAGUACCGUGAGGGAAAGAUGAAAAGAACUUUGAAAAUAGAGUUAAAGAGUACCUGAAACUGCUGAAAGGGAACCAAAUCGUUUCCAGUGUCUAUAAUCCGUGGUAUAUCACAUCGGCGAGCGUGUGCGUGUGUGUGCUGUUGUAGUGGCCUUUUGGUUACGCUCGGCGUAUGUGCUGUAUAUGCUUGCUGGUGCCCUGUACUGCGGUGGGACGUCAAGGUCAGUUCGUAUGCUGCGGGAAAUGACUACCAAGGAGGUAGGGCUUACGCUUGCGUUUGUCUGUUAUAUCUUGGUAGACGAGUAGUCGCGGUUGGGACUGAGGUGCCUACAACGUGCUUUUGAGUGGGCUUGGGUCUUCGUGUGCGCCGUGUGCGGAUAGCUUGCUAUGCGUGUGUGGUUGUGUAUGGAUUGAUGCGAGCCUUAACUUGUAGUCGUUCGGGACGUUGACGAAAUGGAACGAUUUGACCCGUCUUGAAACACGGACCAAGGAGUCUAACAUAUGUGCAAGUGUUAGGGUGUGGAAACCCCAGCGCGUAAUGAAAGUAAAGGACAGCGUAAGUUGUCUUAGGUAGGAAAUGCUGCGGGCUUCGGCUUGUGGUGUGGCACUAUCGACCGAUCAUGAACCCUCGUGGUGAAAGAUUUGAGGUUGAGCACAUAUGUUGGUACCCGAAAGAUGGUGAACUAUGCCUGAAUAGGGUGAAGCCAGGGAAACUCUGGUGAAGCUCGUAACGAUUCUGACUUGCAAUCGAUCGUCAAAUUGGGUAUAGGGGCGGG